rnacentral:rRNA from 1 species
UACGAAGGGGGCUAGCGUUGUUCGGAAUUACUGGGCGUAAAGCGCGCGCAGGCGGCUAUCCAAGUCAGUGGUGAAAGCCCGGAGCUCAACUCCGGAACUGCCAUUGAAACUGUUUAGCUUGAGGAUGAGAGAGGUGAGUGGAAUUCCCAGUGUAGAGGUGAAAUUCGUAGAUAUUGGGAAGAACACCGGUGGCGAAGGCGGCUCACUGGCUCAUUACUGACGCUCAGGCGCGAUAGCGUGGGGAUCAAACGGG